rnacentral:rRNA from 1 species
CCUACGGGAGGCUGCAGUGGGGAAUAUUGGACAAUGGGCGAAAGCCUGAUCCAGCCAUGCCGCGUGUGUGAAGAAGGCCUUCGGGUUGUAAAGCACUUUCAGUGGGGAAGAAAGCCUUGGGGCUAAUACCCUCGAGGAAGGACAUCACCCACAGAAGAAGCACCGGCUAACUCCGUGCCAGCAGCCGCGGUAAUACGGAGGGUGCGAGCGUUAAUCGGAAUUACUGGGCGUAAAGCGCGCGUAGGCGGUCUGAUAAGCCGGUUGUGAAAGCCCCGGGCUCAACCUGGGAACGGCAUCCGGAACUGUCAGGCUAGAGAGCAGGAGAGGAAGGUAGAAUUCCCGGUGUAGCGGUGAAAUGCGUAGAGAUCGGGAGGAAUACCAGUGGCGAAGGCGGCCUUCUGGACUGACACUGACGCUGAGGUGCGAAAGCGUGGGUAGCAAACAGGAUUAGAUACCCUGGUAGUC